rnacentral:lncRNA from 1 species
CCAAUUCCGCACUCCAACGGUUCGCCUUUCUCUACCUUAACCUCGUCCGAAAAUCUGUAGUUCACUCUGAUUAUGCAAGACUCACUCUGGGCAUUCGAUGUCGCGGGUCCCGUUACGAUUUCCGCUAUUAUGCACUUCGAUCCACUUAUUCACCCGAACACUCGGCCUAGCUCUUGGGCUGCUCACGCGUGAAGCUUUUUUCGCUUGGCGGCCACCCUCCUUAUAUAGGCGCCGGCUAACGGUUCUAACACGCGGUCAGUGUUUUUCCAUCGGCGAUUCUGAUGCUUUCUCCCUUCUUCGUAACUGGACCCCGAUUCCAUGGCCAUAUUUGGGCAUGCGUUGGUCCGCUGCCGGCCCGAUCCCAUCCUUCCACUCUUCUCUGCGCCGCCGUCUCGGGCUCCCCGCUCUCUGAGCGCCUCUUCUAAACUCGCCGUGUUCGGAUAUCCGAGCCCCUGGCUUUAAC